AAUGAACGUUGGCGGCGUGGAUUAGGCAUGCAAGUCGUGCGAGAACCUGGCCUGUGGCGGCUACGGCCAAAGUGGGCCCGGGGGAAAGCGGCGAAAGGGAGCGUAACGCGUGGGUGACUUGCCCUCGGGACCGGGAUAGCUGCUGGAAACGGCAGGUAAUACCGGAUGAGGUCUCUGGACCAAAGGUGCGAUUCCGCCCGAGGAGAGGCCCGCGUCCUAUUAGCUUGUUGGUGAGGUAAUGGCCCACCAAGGCUUAGAUGGGUAGCGGGUGUUAGCGCAUGGCCCCACGACUGGGACUGAGACACUGCCCAGACACCUACGGGUGGCUGCAGUCGAGAAUCUUCGGCAAUGGACGCAAGUCUGACCGAGCGACGCCGCGUGCGGGAUGAAGGCCCUUGGGUUGUAAACCGCUGUCAGAGGGGAUGAAAUGCGGGAGGGUUCUCCCUUCCGUUUGACAGAGCCUCAGAGGAAGCACGGGCUAAGUACGUG
rnacentral:rRNA from 1 species